UACGGAGGGUGCAAGCGUUAUCCGGAUUUACUGGGUUUAAAGGGUGCGUAGGUGGAUUUGUAAGUCAGUGGUGAAAUCUCCGGGCUUAACCCGGAAACUGCCAUUGAUACUAUAAGUCUUGAAUUAUCUGGAGGUAAGCGGAAUAUGUCAUGUAGCGGUGAAAAUGCUUAGAUAUGACAUAGAACACCAAUUGCGAAGGCAGCUUACUACGGAUAUAUUGACACUGAGGCACGAAAGCGUGGGGAUCAAACAGG
rnacentral:rRNA from 1 species